rnacentral:rRNA from 1 species
UACGUAGGGUGCGAGCGUUAAUCGGAAUUACUGGGCGUAAAGGGUGCGUAGGCGGUUCGUCGUGUCUGGUGUGAAAUCCCCGGGCUCAACCUGGGAAUGGCAUUGGAAACUGGCGGACUAGAGUGUGGCAGAGGGAGGUGGAAUUCCGCGUGUAGCAGUGAAAUGCGUAGAGAUGCGGAGGAACACCGAUGGCGAAGGCAGCCUCCUGGGCUAACACUGACGCUGAGGCACGAAAGCGUGGGGAGCAAACAGG